rnacentral:rRNA from 1 species
UACGUAGGGUGCAAGCGUUAUCCGGAAUUAUUGGGCGUAAAGGGCUCGUAGGCGGUUCGUCGCGUCCGGUGUGAAAGUCCAUCGCUUAACGGUGGAUCCGCGCCGGGUACGGGCGGGCUUGAGUGCGGUAGGGGAGACUGGAAUUCCCGGUGUAACGGUGGAAUGUGUAGAUAUCGGGAAGAACACCAAUGGCGAAGGCAGGUCUCUGGGCCGUCACUGACGCUGAGGAGCGAAAGCGUGGGGAG